CCUACGGGUGGCAGCAGUGGGGAAUAUUGCACAAUGGGGGAAACCCUGAUGCAGCGACGCCGCGUGAGUGAAGAAGUAGUUCGGUAUGUAAAGCUCUAUCAGCAGGGAAGAAAAUGACGGUACCUGAGUAAGAAGCCCCGGCUAACUACGUGCCAGCAGCCGCGGUAAGACGGAGGAGGCGAGCGUUAUCCGGAUUUAUUGGGUUUAAAGGGUGCGCAGGCGGGCUGUUAAGCCGGCGGUAAAAAUUCAGGGCUCAACCCUGUCGAGCCGUCGGAACUGGCAGUCUUGAGUGGGCGAGAAGUAUGCGGACUGCGUGGUGUAGCGGUGACAUGCAUCGCUAUCACGCAGAACGCCGAUUGCGCAGGCAGCAUACCGGCGCCCAACUGACGCUGAGGCACGACAGCGUGGGGAUCGAACAGGAUUAGAUACCCGAGUAGUC
rnacentral:rRNA from 1 species